GAUCCGGGUUCAGGUCGGGUUUUAAUGAUUCUGAUGGUGCUGAUCCAAAGUCAGCGGUGGGGAAACAAACUCUCCGAUUUUCUCCUUUUGUUGAUUCUGGUCUGAUCGUUCGUGAGGCUUGGUUCAAGUUUUAGUUUGACAGUGUGUGAAAGGAAAGGUCAGGGGUCAUCCGAGCUAUGUCAGUCAUUCUUUCAGGGGCCAACAGGUCCGAUUAUCUUCCUCAGUAGCUGUGUCACUAAAAUAACAGGAGAGCUAAAGUGAGCGUGCAUGUCGAAAACCAAAGUGAGAAAAGUUUGAAAACUGAGUUUCUGUUCAGCGAGGAGUGAGGAGGCCCCUCAGAGCGCUGAACUUCCUGCUCCUCAUAUUAUCAUGCUCCAAUAAUCUCCUUUAGUCCCACUCCAAACAUGCUGGGUGCUGCAUGGGGCCGGGGAGAGGAUGGAAUCCACACACACACACACACACACACAAAGACAGGGUCAAUAAGAAAUGAACUUUAAUGAGUUUAAGUCCGGUCUAAACCAGCUGAUCCACAUUUGUUUGAGUUUUGUUUGUGUUUCACUCAAACUUCAGAAAACAGCGACGUGUGUAACUGAACAUUUCUAAAAUAAUCAUGUUUGUAAUAAACUCAGUGUUCUGUAGGAAUAAUUAUUAUUAAAUCAUUAUUAUUAAAAAGUUAUAAAGGCUGAGUCCUGAUGAAACCUCUGCGCCAUAUUUACCAAAAAUCUGAAGAUCUCAGAUCAGCUGAUUAUUAGUUUGACUAAAUGGGCACUAGGUGGCAGCAUUUUACUGAGAUGUGGAUUUAAAGGAACACUCCACUGAAUUUAAAGUUAAAGCUCCAGUCAGUGAGUUGGUCUUUUUGUUAUACUUCAUAUGUGGAUGUGUUAAUGAGGAUAAUAAUACAUUUUAUUUAUAAACGCCUUUCUUGACACUUAAGGACACUUUACAGAGUAAAAACAGCAGGAUAAAAGCAAAAGAGAAAACAAAAAGUAUAUCUGUAUGUAUGUGUAUAAAUAAAACAAACAAGAACAUGACAAGGUGAAUUAUAAGGAGUGUACUAAUCUGAACUGGCGGGUUUUGAAGGGAGGGAGAGAGUCGAUAUUCCGGAUGUCAGGUGGGAGCGAGUUCUAGAGAUGGGGAGCAGGGCAGGAGGAUUCUUAAUUUAACUGGGAGCCGCUGAAGGAUGGGGAUCAUGUGGUUCAAUGAGGUAGUUUUGGUGAUGAUUGGAGCAGCAGAGUUUUUAGGUUGAAGUUGACUGUAAAUUUCUUGUGUUUUGUGUAGGAGGAGUGGGCUGGAGGUUGGAGGGGAGGAUCCACAUCAUCAGGACCCUCGCUGUGAGUCUCCACCUUCAUAUAAACCCAACCUUCAUCUCAGUGGGGGUCUUUCUGCAAACACGGUGAAGGUAAACUCCAGGGACGCCCUGAGUCCAGAUUUUUGCCCUGUCCUUCUGAAUGUGACCACUGGGGGGCACCAUACAGUAUCUUAACCUUAGAGCUGCAGGAGAGGACAUGUCAUUAAUAUGUUUUAGAGAGUGACAUGUUCACACGUAGCUGAGGGGUGAAUGAACCUGCAGGCCGGGUCUCUGACACUAACAGGACUCAUGGGGACGACUGCAGGACCAUAAAGUCCCUCUAAGAUCAGUGUUUUCUGCUUCAUGAGAGAGUCCUCCUGUGUGUCUGUCUGCAGUCCUUUCACUUCUCCGAAUAAGAAUAGCUGCCAGGACUCUUGUAGCUACAGUAAGAACUGGGGGGUAUCAGUCUAUCUGAGGACUGGGGGUUAAAAAUAGUCUGACUGCUGCCCACAAGUGUGGAGCCAAGGAGGACAGGCUGUCUCCAGGAACCUAAAAAGGUCUCACAAGGCAGUCAGUGUCCAGGUUGACCAGAAAAUGAUCUUAAAAUGAUCUUUGUGGAGCUCGGCCCAUGAAGAAGAGAAGAAUCCUCUCAAAGAUCAAACUCAGAGCGUCUAAAAUGAUUUAUUAUCAGUUAGUAUCAUUGGGAAACAGCAGUUUGAGGGAAGAACUAACCAGACUUUAACCAGGAGUUCCAAUCUUGUCCUCAAAUCUAACAAAUGCCCAUUAAGGUCAAACAUACCUCCUUUAAAUUCAAUAAAAAAGCAGACACAGAUGCACACUCUCCUUCUCCAAAGUGCAGAAUGAGGAGAAAAUUUGGGGCUAAAUGCUAUAUAUAGUCUUAAGUGCGUCCAUACAUGGGGUGGAAGGGGAACAGCAUUCCUCCGGUGACAGGGUAAUAUUUUUGUUACCAUCAGCAAGUGCUUCCCAAGCGGCAUCAGGCUGGUCUGCCACCGCUUUGCGCUGUUUUAAUCUCUCGGGGUAAGUGACUUUUCUGUGUAUUUCUUUGGCGGUAAAAUCGUGAAAGUGGAGUAUUAGAUUUUUGUGUUAGUAUUAGAGGAAGAGGAGGUGGAGGUGGAGGUGUGAGACAUGUGUUCGUAUAAUGACGGGCUUUAGAUAAUCUGCCUCCUGUGUGUCUGCUGCUGUAAUCUCCCUGAGCGCUUCUUCUUCUUCUUCUUCACUUAACCGGGACAUUAGGAGGCUGCUGAUCCUCCGUCUUCAUCUGCUAAUCCAGCACAGAGUUAAUUUAGUGUUGAAAUAUUGAUUAUACAGAAAGAACUCGUAAUAAAUCAGAGACACUCAGUGAUUUUGUUUGACAGCUGUUUUAAAUCAGAGGAGUCUUAUUCUUCUCAUGAAGGUUUUCAUCAAAGAGAGUGAGGACUUUUUUUG